UACGGAGGGAGCAAGCGUUACUCGGAAUUAUUGGGCGUAAAGGGCGCGUAGGCGGCUUUGCAAGUGACGGGUGAAAUCCCUCGGCUUAACCGAGGAACUGCCUGUCAGACUGUGAGGCUUGAGACCGGGAGAGGUGAGUGGAAUUCCCAGUGUAGCGGUGAAAUGCGUAGAUAUUGGGAGGAACACCAGUGGCGAAGGCGGCUCACUGGACCGGAACUGACGCUGAGGCGCGAAAGCGUGGGGAGCAAACAGG
rnacentral:rRNA from 1 species